GCCCAAAUUAGCUCAUGAGUCAACAUAUCUCAUUUGGUCAUUACAUUUAUUGCAUCAAUUAUCUACAAAUGAAAUACAGCUGCGUUGUCUGUAGCCCCACGUUCAAGCAUCGGCUUAAUGAGCUAGCAAGGUAGGAGAGAUCAGGAGCGCUUGCUGACAACAAAUCGAGAGGAAACCCAAUCCUCGUGCCCGGGACAGACGUUGCACAGCUGACAUUCCUUUCCUUUAUGGGCAGUCCUAGUCAUAUUUUAAGAGACUCUAAUCAGAACAGGAUGAAGGAACCAUAUGCUCCCAGCUUCCCUGAAAGUUUUUUCGGAUUUUUUUUUUCUUUAAGAGCGAUGGAGCUGGAGGCCUGGAUCUAGGCAGAGUCAGAGUUGGGAAUUGUCUCCAUAUUUCUACCAGUUGAAAGGAUCUCCCCCAUUGCCAGUAUAUAUUUUAUAGGCACUGGGUAGCCACCUGUUUUCAAUCGCACCUUCAGAUCAGAGGAGCCCUCUACGAGUGGCCUGCGAGCAUGGGCCUGGCCAAGAGCAAAAGAAACAGUUGCUUGCCCAGGGCUGUCUUUUCUGUUUGCUUUGUAAAUGAUUUCUGAGCCACGUGUGGGAGAAAGGGCUGCCCAGGCUCUCGCUUACAUCAUGAGUGUGGAACUCCAGUCUUGCCAUAGGAAUGCUGUAGAGGCGGACUUUAUUUAAGCUGCUGGUCAGCCAGGGUCUUCCUCAUUGCAAAUGGAUUUGAGCUCGUAAACUAUGAGAGAUUAGUUUUAAGCCCUCGCAGUAGACCUUGCUGAGCAGACUCCAGGUGACAUGAAAGGCAGAGGAGGGGCAGCUGGCCCGGCCCUGCACCCUCCUCCAGAUGUCUGGACUCAGAACCCAGGGUGUAGAGAUGGAUGUCCAGGGCAGCUGGAUCCAGGGCAGGUUCCACCUAACAACAGCCACGUGUAGCAAACACAUCUUCCUCACACACACACACACACACACACAAAUUCACUGGAAAACAAAAACCUUUCAUCUCAAGGUAGAUUGGAUUGUCCUUAAGGAGCCAGGCCACCUCCUCUGGUAGGAUCUGAACUCUCAAGCACACAGUGAGAAACUCUUUAGGCACCAAGUCCCUUUCAGAGAAACCUGUGUUCAAAUCUUACCUUGGCCACUUGCUAGGUCCGUGACCAAGGACAAGCCAAUUUCAGGAUCUCAG
rnacentral:lncRNA from 1 species